CGGCGUGACGUCACGGCGGCGGCUGCCGGGAGCCCCCGGGCCGGGACGGCUCCGGCCGGGCCCCGCGGGCCUUGCGUGGCUCCGGCAUCCCCCGCCAUGCGCAGCGGGGAGUCCCGGGGAGCUCCGGGCUGGCUAGCUGGAAUGGAAGCGCCGUAGCGAGCUGGCUCUUAGAAAGGCUGAAUGCUUGGAGUCAGUCACAGAAAAUUUGCUGCUGUCACAUCAUCUCUUGCCUUGGAGCCCGGCUCAGGCUUACAGUAAUUCGUGUUGCACAUCACAGUAAGCAGCUCCAGGUGUCAACUGAGCAAAGUCCAGAUCAGCUGCAGUUAUUCCAGAGUAUGCGUCCACAUGCAGAAUAUUCCAGAACAGGUGAGCUGUCCUUCCACUGUCCACUUCUCUUGUGGGUGAAUAUGGGAUGUUGGAUUUUGGAAGUGGGGAGAAAUCCACCAGUUUCAGCAGUACUGGUCAGACCUUGUCCCAACAGCCCGGGGAGGUUAUGCUUUGCCUGGGCGGUGCCACCUACAGGGUGUCCUGGUGGCUGCUGCUGUGCAUGGGAUUGCUGUGCAGCCCCAUUUCCCAGUGGGAUUCCCCAUGGGGUGUCCCCCAGGGGCUGCGGCAGGGAGAAAUGGGGUGAGAGACAGGCCGAGACAGCUGAAGAGCCGAGCUGUGGCCAGACCUCACAAGGCUCCUCUCUCUGAUUUAAGGACAGGCUGCCCUAUGAACACUGAUCUGGGUCUCCUGGGAGCAAACUCAGAGAAUCCUGCUGAUUGCUCUGGACAUGAGAUUCUGAUGGGAAUACCUGGCCAAUGCAACAUUUAUUAACGCACCCAUCUCAGGUGUUAUUCACCCCUGAACCUGUACGAGCCAAUGUCACUUCACAAUUCCCUCUUUGCAGACAAAUCCUAAACCUGUAUGGAUCCAGGGUUGCCCUUACCAUUCCUGGAGCUCUCCACUUCCUGCUUUUCCUGUUGCUUUCUGCAGCCAGCUUCACAAAACCCAAACAGGAAUAAUGGGUAAAAUAAAUAUUUCCAGCUGAGGAUUCUGCUUCCA
rnacentral:lncRNA from 1 species